GUAGGUGGCAAGCGUUGUCCGGGAAUUAUUGGGGCGUAAAGCGCGCGCAGGCGGUUCUUUAAGUCUGAUGUGAAAGCCCACGGGCUCAACCGUGGGAGGGUCAUUGGAAACUGGAGAACUUGAGUACAGAAGAGGAAAGCGGAAUUCCACGUGUAGCGGUGAGAUGCGUAGAGAUGUGGAGGAACACCAGUGGCGAAGGCGGCUUUCUGGUCUGUAACUGACGCUGAGGCGCGAAAGCGUGGGGAGCAAACAGGAUUAGAUACCCUGGUAGUCCACGCCGUAAACGAUGAGUGCUAAGUGUUAGGGGGUUUCCGCCCCUUAGUGCUGCAGCUAACGCAUUAAGCACUCCGCCUGGGGAGUACGGCCGCAAAGGCUGA
rnacentral:rRNA from 1 species